rnacentral:tRNA from 1 species
GGCGGUGUGGCGGAAUUGGUAGACGCGAACGACUCAAAAUCGUUUUCCAUUAGGAGUGCGGGUUCGAGUCCCGCCACCGCUACCA